rnacentral:lncRNA from 1 species
AAGGUUCUUUCGUGGAUGAAGUGAGCACCUGUGCGUGCCUCUACAGCUGCUGAGCCUUUCCCCAGCCUGGGGCCCCCAGCUCUCCUGCUUCUUCUGGAAGAGGGGUAGGGCCAAGACGAGGGAAGAAAACCUGCAGCCUCCUGGUGGCUCGGCGAAGCGAGACCAGCAGUGCGCUCGGCGGGGCGCCUCGCACUGGUGACUUAGGGCAGACCUCAGGAUGGCAGCCACAGGCUGCUGGUGGCCUCUGAGGAGAAUCAUAUCCAGCGGGGCUUUGACAAAGCCCAGAGAGGCCCUGAAAGCUGGAAACGGAUGUGGGGGCGGGGAGUAGAGGGCCUGGCUGAGGGUCAGCCCUGAGGACUGUGGAAGGAUUCUCCCCCCGGCCACCGCUGCUCCGAGCAUCGCCAGGUCGGCCUGGGUCCCCUGCAGGUCGGAGCACGGCCAGGAGGCCAAACAGCCUCACUGACCCUGCAGGGACCUCUCCCCCGAGCUGCUCCUUGCCUGUCAGAGGAGGGCUGCGCCGGCCACCCAGUGGCUCCUCCUGAGACCCCCGCCUCAAGGAUGGGCCCCGAGGGGGCCGAGGGCCGGGGUUCCCUGACCAGACACUGGCCAGGCACGGUCAGCCUGAGCGCUGGCAGCAAGAGCAGAGGCCCCAAGAACCCGCCACAGGAUGUGAGGAAAUAGCAGGCCCUGCUCCAGACGGGCUUGUCGGAUCCCAGAGAGGGCUGCUGGGCUUCCUCCUUUUCAUCCGAGCUCGCCUCCUUUUCCAACUUUGUACGUUUUGUGAGACUUUGGAGGUGAGACGAGCUUCCCCUGCUGCUCUGUGGCCAUUGAUGUUGCUGAGCUGAGCUCGGUUGCAACACUUUCCUGUAAAAUGGACUAAAGCAGAAGUUGCUGUGUUCCUCAUAAAGAAAUGCAUAAAUCAGCUAAAAAUAGUUCUUCAGAGCGGAUGUGAUGAUGCCGUGGCUGUCACAGGAAACACUCCCCCAUGCCUUCGGGAUCAGCAGGAGAAACAAGAGCGAGGCUGUGGUAAAGCAGGUGUGGCCCGUGUUCUGCUCCUCGGGGCACUGGAGGGUAACGUGCACAGAGCUGAGCCCGCUGGCCUGGAGGGGAUGUGUCCUCGGCCUUGUCCUCUUCUGCGUCUCCCGCGCUGUCUCUGGUGUGUGUCUCCUGCCCAGCGCGAGGCCCUGGCCUGUCCACUGUCCUUUGAGUGUUGCUUACAGGCCGUCCUGGGGGUUCUCACCUGGCUGCGGGUUGCUGGCAACGGGUGGGGGUGUCCGUGGUCUCUGAGCAGGCGCAAGUUUCCCUGGGCUCCUCCGUCAGGGUCCUCUGGCCUCCCUGGGACUGGGUGUCCCCCAGGGGGGCCUGGAACUGUUGAGGCCUGAGCGGACGUAUGGACCCCGCCCCUCCCCUCUGUGUUCACGGGGGCUGGGGGCCCCAAGAGUGUAGAAGGUUGCCCUGCGGUUUUCAUUCCUUUUUCCUGGGGAGCAUCUGACGUCCCUGAAACUCUCUUUUCCCGAUUUUCUCGGACUGAUUUCCCUCCCCGCGCCCACUUUGUCCCUUCCAGGCUCCAACCAUCUGUCCUCCCGUGAUCUCAGCCGGACACCGCCCUCCUCACCCUGCCUGUUGCCCGUCACUGCCAAGGCCAUACGAAGGGUAAAAUGCCACCAGAAGCUGGUCCUGAACCAAAGUUGCUCCCGUGCUAUGGGGAGAGUCUGACCCAGCAGUUCUGAUCCUGGCAGCUCUGACCCUGCAGCUCUGAUUCUGGCGGCUCUGACCCUGGCAACUCUGACCCUGGCAAGGUCUGACCUGGCUGCUGCUCAGGGCUGCCUGCUUGGCGCCACCGGACUCCUCCUGUGGGGACCCCUGAGUCAGGAGCCAGGGUCCUCCACAAAUGGGAUGUGUGAUCUUGUCCAUGCUGAGGGAAGAGAACGGGACUCUCCCUCGAACCUCGGGCCCCGGCCUUUUCCACCCAAAGCCCCAGCCUUUUUUGCUCUCCUAACGAGCCCUGUAGGGCAGAGUUUACCUGGAAAAAAUUUCCACUCACUCCAGAUGCCACCAAAACCCAUGCUGGAAGGGUUAGGGGAGGAUGUCCAGGGAGCACCCAGCCUGGGCAGUGGCCUGAGGGAGUGCUCGUGAGCCUGCCCGGGCGGGGGGUUACUCGAGGAGCCUGCUCCGCCGGCUGGCCCCCACCUCUGCACUCCGCUCACUGGCUCUGCAACCCCUGGACUCACAGGGGCUCAGUGGGCACGGAGGUUGGGGUUUUAGUUGUAAAGUUGCUCAUUAUUUA